CAGGUUUUGGUCGGUGGCUUUCUGACGUCAAGUGCCCGCUCUGUGCAAGACCUAGCUGCUUUGCACUUGGUGAUUCUUGGAUAUGUUGUGUGUGGGUUAAGUAGCACAGAUAUGGAGCAACUGCAAGCUUAUGAGUUUUGGUGAGAACACUAUUUAUUGGAACACUCUCUCAACUGUGCUAUAGAUUAUGACAAAAUCCACUUCUUUCAGCUCUGCAGUGCUUUAUCUGGGCUCUCUCCCACUUUCUUGUAUGGAGCAGCAGUUCCA